AGCUCCAAUAGCGUAUAUUAAAGUUGUUGCAGUUAAAAAGCUCGUAGUUGGAUUUCUGGUGGGAGCGAUCGGUCCGACACACUGUGUGGGUACUUGCAUCGUCUCCGGCCAUCCUUGGGGAGAGCCUGUCUGGCAUUAAGUUGUCGGGUAGGGGAUCUCCAUCGUUUACUGUGAAAAAAUUAGAGUGUUCAAAGCAGGCUUAUGCCGUUGAAUAUAUUAGCAUGGAAUAAUAAGAUAGGACCUCGGUACUAUUUUGUUGGUUUGCGUACUAAGGUAAUGAUUAAUAGGGACAGUUGGGGGUAUUCGUAUUCAAUUGUCAGAGGUGAAAUUCUUGGAUUUAUGGAAGACGAACUACUGCGAAAGCAUUUACCAAGGAUGUUUUCAUUAAUCAAGAACGAAA
rnacentral:rRNA from 1 species